AACGAACACUGGCGGCAUGCCUAACACAUGCAAGUCGAACGAGAUCUUCGGGUCUAGUGGCGCACGGGUGCGUAACGCGUGGGAAUCUGCCCUUUGGUUCGGAAUAACAGUUGGAAACGACUGCUAAUACCGGAUGAUGACGAAAGUCCAAAGAUUUAUCGCCAGAGGAUGAGCCCGCGUAGGAUUAGCUAGUUGGUGUGGUAAAGGCGCACCAAAGCGACGAUCCUUAGCUGGUCUGAGAGGAUGAUCAGCCACACUGGGACUGAGACACGGCCCAGACUCCUACGGGAGGCAGCAGUGGGGAAUAUUGGACAAUGGGCGAAAGCCUGAUCCAGCAAUGCCGCGUGAGUGAUGAAGGCCUUAGGGUUGUAAAGCUCUUUUACCCGGGAUGAUAAUGACAGUACCGGGGGAAUAAGCUCCGGCUAACUCCGUGCCAGCCGCCGCGGUAA
rnacentral:rRNA from 1 species